rnacentral:rRNA from 1 species
GAUGAACGCUAGCGGCAGGCUUAAUACAUGCAAGUCGAGGGGCAGCACAGGUAGCAAUGCUGGGUGGCGACCGGCAAACGGGUGCGGAACACGUACACAACUUACCUUAGAGUGGGGGAUAGCCCAGGGCAACUUGGCUUAAUACCCCAGAAAACAGGGGGCCCGCAUGGGCAUAGUGUUAACGAUUCAUCACUUUAAGAUGGGUGUGCGGCUGAUUAGGUAGUUGGUAGGGUAAAGGCCUACCAAGCCGGCGAUCAUUAACUGUUGUGAGAGCACGACCAGUCACACGGGCACUGAGACACGGGCCCGACGCCUACGGGAGGCAGCAGUAAGGAAUAUUGGUCAAUGGACGGAAGUCUGAACCAGCCAUGCCGCGUGAAGGAUGAAGGUCCUCUAGAUUGUAAACUUCUUUUAUAGGGGGCGAAAAAGGGCCAUUCUUGGUCAACUGACGGUACCCUAUGAAUAAGCACCGGCUAACUCCGUGCCAGCCGCCGCAGUAACAC